rnacentral:rRNA from 1 species
GAUGAACGCUAGCGGCAGGCCUAAUACAUGCAAGUCGAACGGUGUCUUCGGACAUAGUGGCGCACGGGUGCGUAACACGUAUGCAACCUACCUUACAUUGGGGGAUAGCCUUUCGAAAGGGAGAUUAGUACCGCAUAAGACAGUAGCUGGGCAUCCAGCAGCUGUUAAAGAUUUAUCGAUGUAAGCUGGGCAUGCGUCCAAUUAGCUAGUUGGUGAGGUAACGGCUCACCAAGGCAAUGAUUGGUAGGGGAACUGAGAGGUCAAUCCCCCACACUGGCACUGAGAUCCGGGCCAGACUCCUACGGGAGGCAGCAGUAGGGAAUAUUGGGCAAUGGACGCAAGUCUGACCCAGCCAUGGCGCGUGCAGGAUGAAGGCGUUAUGCGUUGUAAACUGCUUUUAUACAGGAAGAAACGACUCUUGCGAGAGGCAUUGACGGUACUGUAUGAAUAAGCACCGGCUAACUCCGUGCCAGCAGCCGCCGCGGUAA